UUAUUAUUACCUCCGUUCAGAAAUACUUGUCAUAUGAAUGGAUGUCCCUAGAUGCGUUUUAGCUCUAGAUACAUCUAUUUUUAUAUAUUUAUACGACAAGUAAUUUUGGAUGGAGAGAGUAUAUA
rnacentral:pre_miRNA from 2 species